CAAUGUAAUUAUAUUGAAUAAAGAAAGAAAAAAAAUGUUCAUUCAUCAUUCUUAUCGAUGAAAAAAAUUUAAAAUCCUGAAAAUUCAAAUUAGCAAAGACAUUUUAGCGACUUAAAGUAUAGUAUCGGUAAUGUACUAACAGUAACUGUAAUCCUAACUACGACGGUGCCCAGAGUCCACGUCUUGAUUUCUGUGCAAGAAAUUCAUCCACAAACUGAUCUAAUUCCAACUGUACGACGACUUCGUUCUCAAUUGCCAAAAAAGCAAGUUGUAGGAAAAGCACGUGCCCACGAUCGCUCCCGGUGCGUUCUUCUGCUGCGUUAAAUAAAAUAAAGAGGAAGCUACUCCGCGUAAAACAGAUAGGCCUACUUGUACUGAAUAUGCCAAUAUUAUCAAGCAAAACUUUUUUGACAUUAAGCAAUGACAAGGCUUCGAGAAGAAAAAAAAAACUAACUGAAGCAAAAGAAAUGUCAUCUGAAAAGUAAAAUUUAUAACUUGCAAACACGAUUGGUCUUUUGAUAAUGUUUUCCUUUGUUUACGCUGCCAGCUUUCUCGCUUGCGCUGCUUGACUUUGCGGUUACGCUGCCAGCUUUUUCGCUUGCGCUCCCUGACUUUUUGCUUACAAUUCUGACACAAACUUGGAUUAUAUAUACAGUGGUACUCAUUUUUUCGGAGUAAUUUUAAUGUGCGAGAUCGUGAGGGGUCGAAGCUCAGAAUGUUCGCAUUGUUGAUACCAGGAGGUCUUUAACUUAACUGUUUUAUGUGCGAUCAUUGACAUUUUGGGAAACGCGCAGAAAUGGGAGCAUACAGGAAAGACUGAUUUGGAAUUAUUAUAGGAAAAAUGUGGAUAAAACACCUUAUUCAUCGCAGGAAAGAUAAAUGUUAACUUGGCGUUGUGAGCACUGGGGUUGCAAGUAAGCAGUGGCGGAGUAAGUAAAAAUAAGUGAUACUGAACGUAAAUUAAAACAGUAGCUGGCAUUGUGAUUUCUCCAGUUAAAAAUUACCAAUAAAAAUUGCUGCGCCCAAACAGGGGCCCGCGGUGCAUUGCACCGAUUGCACCUGUGUUAAAAGCGGCCCUGGCGUGUAUAUAUAGUUUUCUUUACUUAAGCCAAAUUCAUGUGCAUGAGUAUCAAGGACUACAUCACGGUUAACAACUGCAAUAUUACCAAUACAAUCACACAUACAUAUACAAUGAGCAUGAGUAAACUUGCAUAUGUUGCUGUGUAAACGUCAAAGUUAAUAUUAUAUCUUUGUUUUUUGAUGAAAGACAUAUAGUUUUAUUAAACAGAAAUGCAAUAAUUUACUGUUGUGAUAAAUGAUGAACAGCUGCGUUUAUUUUAUUCCUUUUAACAGCGUAACUGCAUUUCCGCAGUAAACGCCGCGAGGGCUCUUAAUUGGGAUCGAUUCGCAAACCGGUCGUUUGGGUCACCGACCGAGUGUCAGAAAACCAAGCAGCUCUCCCCGUCUGCCUGCGUCCACUGUAAACCAGAGCCGACACUGUCUGACAGAAGCCAGCAGUGCUGCUUUUCACAGUAAAGGGAUGCAGUGCUUACGGUCUGAGGGAAAAGGUGAGAAGCCACAGCCUGUUUCUCAGGGAAUGGAAAGUGCCACAAGAAAGGCAGGAGCUCACCUGUUCCCUCAAGGCUGGCACUAAAGAAGAGAGUGACGCCAGGACCCCUGAAGGAGAGAAGGGAC